UGAGGAAUAUUGGUCAAUGGGCGAGAGCCUGAACCAGCCAAAUCGCGUGAAGGAAGACUGCCUUAUGGGUUGUAAACUUCUUUUAUACAGGAAUAAAAAAGGGGACGUGUCCCUUAUUGCAUGUACUGUAUGAAUAAGCAUCGGCUAACUCCGUGCCAGCAGCCGCGGUAAUACGGAGGAUGCGAGCGUUAUCCGGAUUUAUUGGGUUUAAAGGGUGCGCAGGCGGGCUUUUAAGUCAGCGGUGAAAUCUCGGGGCUUAACUCCGAAACUGCCGUUGAAACUGGGAGUCUUGAGUAUGGAUGAAGUAGGCGGAAUUCGUUGUGUAGCGGUGACAUGCUUAGAUAUAACGAGGAACUCCGAUUGCGUAGGCAGCUUACUAAGCCAUAACUGACGCUCAAGCACGAAAGCGUGGGGAUCAAACAGGAUUAGAUACCCCUGGUAGUCCACGCCGUAAACGAUGAU
rnacentral:rRNA from 1 species